UUGGUUUAGAAGCAGCCAUCCUUUAAAGAAAGCGUAAUAGCUUACUGAUCGAGUUGUCCUGCGCGGA
rnacentral:rRNA from 1 species